rnacentral:lncRNA from 1 species
GUGGGGGCUCUCAGCUCUCUUCUACUCCUCCUCGAACCCUUACCUUGACCGUAAAAACCAACGGUGUAUCAUCGUGACACGCCAGCAUUCAAGCAUGAUCUUCUGGGUGAUCUUGGACCGCCGGUUUGUUUUUAUCUGAUGAAAGGAAUGUGCAUCACUUCAAGUGGAUCGAUAACAUCGAGCACUUGGCGAUAAGGAGUACUCGCUGGGAGGCCAAGCCUUUUUGUGGGAAGGGUUGGCAUCUCUGAGAGACCGACAUAUAGAUAAAAAGGGACAUGGGAGACCCAUACAGUUCCCACCACCAGGAUGA